GAUGAACGCUGACAGAAUGCUUAACACAUGCAAGUCUACUUGAACUUCGGUUUGGGUGGCGGACGGGUGAGUAACGCGUAAAGAACUUGCCUCACAGUUAGGGACAACAUUUGGAAACGAAUGCUAAUACCUGAUAUUAUGAUUUUAGGGCAUCCUAAAAUUAUGAAAGCUAUAUGCGCUGUGAGAGAGCUUUGCGUCCCAUUAGCUAGUUGGAGAGGUAACGGCUCACCAAGGCGAUGAUGGGUAGCCGGCCUGAGAGGGUGAACGGCCACAAGGGGACUGAGACACGGCCCGUACUCCUACGGGAGGCAGCAGUGGGGAAUAUUGGACAAUGGACCAAAAGUCUGAUCCAGCAAUUCUGUGUGCACGAUGACGUUUUUCGGAAUGUAAAGUGCUUUCAGUUGGGAAGAAAAAAAUGACGGUACCAACAGAAGAAGUGACGGCUAAAUACGUG
rnacentral:rRNA from 1 species